CCCUUAGAUGUUCUGGGCUGCACGCGCGCUACACUGAUACUUUCAGCGAGUCCACCACCUUGCCUGAGAGGGUGGGGUAACCUCUGGAAAGUGUAUCGUGAUGGGGAUCGAUUAUUGUAAUUAUUAAUCUUCAACGAGGAAUUCCUAGUAAGCAUGUGUCAUCAGCCCGUGCUGAUUACGUCCCUGCCCUUUGUACACACCGCCCGUCGCUCCUACCGAUUGAGUGCUCAGGUGAGCCAUUCGGACUUUCAUCAUGCUGGUUUCCAGUUUUGAUGAAGGAAAGUCUUGCGAACCUUAUCAUUUAGAGGAAGGAGAAGUCGUAACA
rnacentral:rRNA from 1 species